rnacentral:lncRNA from 1 species
GCAAGGUGUUCUCUGAAGAAUCAGUCUCUUCUUGAGAGCAAUCAUAAUUCACUGAAGCUUCUGCAGGGUCAAGUUUCAGAUCGGUGAGGUCUGCGCUUUUCCUUUCCUGAAUGGUCCCCUCUGGAUUUAUUUGCAGGAUUUUGUUGAGAGUGAAAAUCCAGUCAUCCAUAUCCUGUUCAUUUUCAGCUGCCAGCACAAAGUAUGUGAGGUCAUUCAUUUUCAGCUCAAAGGCAUGUUUCCUAAGCCUGUUAUUCUGUACGACUCCCGUACAGGAAUCCAAG